UUUAUGGAACAGUGUGCUCAGGAAAGAAUAUCAAACCCUGAGUGGGUGACUUGAACCUAUCAGGCAAAUGAGAGAGUGGGGAGGAGAGGCUGGCACAGUGUCUUGCCCGAAAGCCCAUCCGCGGUGCAGCUGCCCACACUUAGGAGGAAACUCUAAACCCCGAGCUUCUCACCGAGGAGGAAAGGGUGUGAAACCCACAUCAGGCUCCCCAGCAUUUGACAUUUGCGCCUCAGAGAAAACAUUUCGGCGACACCCACUAUAAGCCAUUGCCUCUUGGGAAUAUUCUGCCCCGAUUCUUCUGUACUUCCUAGAGGACUACCAGCCAAUAUGCUUCGCCACGGGAAGACAGCUGCCUAAGAAGCAAACACGGACCCAAUUGACAUUUGGGGAGGGAGUCUCCCGGACAAACCACUUGUGGCAUCCUUGGAAGUAUGUCUAGAUGACUAUGCAUUAUGGGAAGGCCUGCUAUUGUCCUAAACUGGAGAUCGCAUCCACUGAGCGUUCUGAUUAAAAGCAACCUCAAGCAAGGACAUAGCUCAGAUUCGAAGCUACACCAUUUGCUGGCCCCCGGAUCAGUAACUACUUGACCUUUCCAAGGAAUCCUGACUUGGGCAACUUAACCUAAUGCACGGUGGGCUUAAGGAGCCCAAGUCUGCUUCUCUUCUCCUCGAAUGCCCUUCGGGGCUCAUCUAACGCGGCAUCUUCUUCGCAACCGACUUGGUAUUUGUGAUCAGCUUAGAAGGCCAAGGAACACUAGACUAAAUCAAGUUUUCCAUGUCCUAACCUUGUCUCCACUCAAACGCCACAACAGCUUGUCUUAGGAUGAGAAGAGGAGAAGGACAAACACGUAUUUCUUCACUAGAAUUUUGUCCUGGCCCCAACUCGGUGGUGUCGGAGACCAUCCUGGACACAUGCUUUUUCUACUAUCUACCAGGCUUUUGCUUCAAAUGCACUUAUCUUUCCGCAGACCUGUCCCUCUUACUGCCAGCUCAGGCACCAUCAUUUUCCUGUACCCAAUUAUACUAAUCUACGUACUUGUGGGGAUCUGCGGAAAAAUAAGCUUUCCAUCACCGUGUGAAGAAUGUAGGCAAAUCCAGUGAAAAGAAGGGAAAGGACUCAGACUGGGGCAGAAGGAAAAGAGCAAGAAAACACACAGCUCUUGCCUCAGUGAACUGGCCUGUUACAUUUCCCUGCCUACGUUCCCUGUCCUUAUUUUAACUGCCCUCAUUUUCUCUGACUUGAUUUUCAUUCACACUGAAAGUACUCUCCCAUCUGAAAGAGUGAUUAAAUGUACUAGUUGAAGCACAA